rnacentral:rRNA from 1 species
GAUGAACGCUGGCGGCGUGCCUAACACAUGCAAGUCGAACGAAGCAAUUAAAAUGAAGUUUUCGGAUGGAUUUUUGAUUGACUGAGUGGCGGACGGGUGAGUAACGCGUGGAUAACCUGCCUCACACUGGGGGAUAACAGUUAGAAAUGACUGCUAAUACCGCAUAAGCGCACAGUACCGCAUGGUACGGUGUGAAAAACUCCGGUGGUGUGAGAUGGAUCCGCGUCUGAUUAGCCAGUUGGCGGGGUAACGGCCCACCAAAGCGACGAUCAGUAGCCGACCUGAGAGGGUGACCGGCCACAUUGGGACUGAGACACGGCCCAAACUCCUACGGGAGGCAGCAGUGGGGAAUAUUGCACAAUGGGCGAAAGCCUGAUGCAGCGACGCCGCGUGAGUGAAGAAGUAUUUCGGUAUGUAAAGCUCUAUCAGCAGGGAAGAAAAUGACGGUACCUGACUAAGAAGCCCCGGCUAACUACGUGCCAGCAGCCGCGGUAAUACGUAGGGGGCAAGCGUUAUCCGGAUUUACUGGGUGUAAAGGGAGCGUAGACGGCGAAGCAAGUCUGAAGUGAAAACCCAGGGCUCAACCCUGGGACUGCUUUGGAAACUGUUUUGCUAGAGUGUCGGAGAGGUAAGUGGAAUUCCUAGUGUAGCGGUGAAAUGCGUAGAUAUUAGGAGGAACACCAGUGGCGAAGGCGGCUUACUGGACGAUAACUGACGUUGAGGCUCGAAAGCGUGGGGAGCAAACAGGAUUAGAUACCCUGNNAGUCCACGCCGUAAACGAUGAAUGCUAGGUGUUGGGGGGGUAAAGCCCUUCNGUGCCGUCGCAAACGCANUAANCAUUCCACCUGGGGNGUACGUUCGCAAGAAUGAAACUCAAAGGAAUUGACGGGGNNCCGCACAAGCGGUGGAGCAUGGUGGUUUUAAUUCGAAGCAACGCGAAGAACCUUUACCAAGUCUGACAUCCUCUUGACCGGGCGUGUAACGGCGCUUCCCUUUCGGGGCAGAAGAGACAGUGGGUGCAUGGAUUGUCGUCAGCUCGUGUCGUGAGAUGUUGGGAUAAGUUCC